rnacentral:misc_RNA from 1 species
GUGAAUCAUCAAAUUUUUGAACGCAAAUUGCACUCUCUUCGGAGAGUAUGCCUGUUUGAGGGUCAGCCUAAAAAAAAAAUCGACAUAUUCGCUGUUUCGCGGUUACAUUCGUCGGAAAUUGUUUCAUCUUAAACCUUUGUGUUUUAAUCGUCUUAAAAUUUUCUUUAUGAUUCUACGAACGUUUCUAUGUUUUACCUCUUAUACUUUUAAGUUAUCGAUCUUUAUUAGACGUUGCA